rnacentral:misc_RNA from 1 species
GGCGUUAUGGCUACUCCUUUUAUGCUUUCCCAUGAUGGCAUAGAAUUGCAGUUUGCAACAAAUCAUUUAGGACAUUUUCUUCUGACGAACCUUCUGAUGGAAACCAUGAAAAAAACUGUGCUUGAAAGCAAAAAGGAGGGAAGGAUUGUCAAUCUAUCAUCAGAGGGUCACCGGUUGACAUAUGGUGAAGGAAUUCGUUUUGAUAAAAUCAAUGAUGAAUCAGAGUAUAGAACUCUCUUAGCUUAUGGACAAUCAAAGCUUUCCAACAUACUGCAUGCAAAAGAGCUUGCCAGGCGGUUAAAGGAAGAAGGGGUAGAAAUAAC